AUUGAACGCUGGCGGCAGGCCUAACACAUGCAAGUCGAGCGGAUGAAGGGAGCUUGCUCCUGGAUUCAGCGGCGGACGGGUGAGUAAUGCCUAGGAAUCUGCCUGGUAGUGGGGGAUAACGUCCGGAGACGGGCGCUAAUACCGCAUACGUCCUGAGGGAGAAAGUGGGGGAUCUUCGGACCUCACGCUAUCAGAUGAGCCUAGGUCGGAUUAGCUAGUUGGUGGGGUAAAGGCCUACCAAGGCGACGAUCCGUAACUGGUCUGAGAGGAUGAUCAGUCACACUGGAACUGAGACACGGUCCAGACUCCUACGGGAGGCAGCAGUGGGGAAUAUUGGACAAUGGGCGAAAGCCUGAUCCAGCCAUGCCGCGUGUGUGAUGAAGGUCUUCGGAUUGUAAAGCACUUUAAGUUGGGAGGAAGGGCAGUAAGUUAAUACCUUGCUGUUUUGACGUUACCAACAGAAUAAGCACCGGCUAACUUCGUG
rnacentral:rRNA from 1 species